GGCUUUUGUCCGUAUCCCUGAUUAAAUAUAACCUUCUGUUUCCAGUUGUGCUGAAGGUCUAGCAGUCAUUGCCAACAUAUCAAAACAUACCAAAUAUAUCACAACAACAGUAGGCUUUCUACAAGAUCAGUUCAAAUCUAACCCGAAAAUCCUUGACCAGCUUCAGGACGGAACAGGACCGAAACAGUUAUUACAACACACACAAGAUACUCUAUAUAACAUUUCAACACUGGAGAAACAACUGCUCUCACUGAAAUCACAUUUAAAUAAGACUUUAGAAACAGGCAACUAUAACCCUCCAGAUAUAUUGGACAAAGACAGUCAGAAAAAGGUAAAUGGACGGUCACGAAGAUUACCAAUUCUUGUUGUCAUGGCAACCACAGUGGCAGUUAUAGUUUGGAAAAGAGAUCUGUUAUGGAAUCAAUUGGAACAAUUACUGCCAUCUACCUAGCACAGAUUGUGUCAUUUUAUGUUCUAGUCCAUUUACCAAUUUGUGCAAAUGUUAAUUGAUUUUGACAGGCAGAAGAUGCCUGUUCAGACAGAUUAUUUUAAUCAAUACUGACACAGUUGGCCACUUUGUAUUAGGUCAAAAUAUGAAAUGUCUGCUUUUCAGUUCUUAAACAGUAAAAAUCACGACAGGGAGUCUGUUGGUAAGGUUUUCUUGAAUUAAAGGUACAUGAAGCCUCAGAAAUUAUUAUCUAUUACUUUCUGUAAUAAAGACAAAUAUAAUUUAUGUUUUAUGAUGUUGUAAUGAUAGUUUUAUAACAUGUAAGAUGCUUAUUAUAUGAGGAAAAGAGCUUUUGUAAAAGGUAGCAAAAUGUAAACAAAGGUGUAUUUUGACCUCCAUACAAGAUACUGUAAUCAGUUUAACUGUUCUUAUUGCCAAAAUGUAAAAGUUAUCGCCAAAAUGUAAAAGAAGCAAGAGA